rnacentral:rRNA from 1 species
GCGUUGCCCAGACAACUAGGAUGUUGGCUUAGAAGCAGCCAUCAUUUAAAGAGUGCGUAAUAGCUCACUAGUCGAGUGACACUGCGCCGAAAAUGUACCGGGGCUAAACAUAUUACCGAAGCUGUGGAUUGUCCUUUGGACAAUGGUAGGAGAGCGUUCUAAGGGCGUCGAAGCAUGAUCGCAAGGACAUGUGGAGCGCUUAGAAGUGAGAAUGCCGGUGUGAGUAGCGAAAGACGGGUGAGAAUCCCGUCCACCGAUUGACUAAGGUUUCCAGAGGAAGGCUCGUCCGCUCUGGGUUAGUCGGGUCCUAAGCUGAGGCCGACAGGCGUAGGCGAUGGAUAACAGGUUGAUAUUCCUGUACCACCUAGUAUCGUUUUAAUCGAUGGGGGGACGCAGUAGGAUAGGCGAAGCGUGCUGUUGGAGUGCACGUCCAAGCAGUAAGGCUGAGUGUUAGGCAAAUCCGGCACUCAUAAGGCUGAGCUGUGAUGGGGAGAGGAAAUUGUUUCCUCGAGUCGUUGAUUUCACACUGCCGAGAAAAGCCUCUAGAUAGAUAACAGGUGCCCGUACCGCAAACCGACACAGGUAGUCAAGAUGAGAAUUCUAAGGUGAGCGAGCGAACUCUCGUUAAGGAACUCGGCAAAAUGACCCCGUAACUUCGGGAGAAGGGGUGCUCUUUAGGGUUCACGCCCAGAAGAGCCGCAGUGAAUAGGCCCAAGCGACUGUUUAUCAAAAACACAGGUCUCUGCUAAACCGUAAGGUGAUGUAUAGGGGCUGACGCCUGCCCGGUGCUGGAAGGUUAAGAGGAGUGGUUAGCUUCUGCGAAGCUACGAAUCGAAGCCCCAGUAAACGGCGGCCGUAACUAUAACGGUCCUAAGGUAGCGAAAUUCCUUGUCGGGUAAGUUCCGACCCGCACGAAAGGCGUAACGAUUUGGGCACUGUCUCAACGAGAGACUCGGUGAAAUCAUAGUACCUGUGAAGAUGCAGGUUACCCGCGACAGGACGGAAAGACCCCGUGGAGCUUUACUGUAGCCUGAUAUUGAAAUUCGGCACAGCUUGUACAGGAUAGGUAGGAGCCUUUGAAACGUGAGCGCUAGCUUACGUGGAGGCGUUGGUGGGAUACUACCCUAGCUGUGUUGGCUUUCUAACCCGCACCACUUAUCGUGGUGGGAGACAGUGUCAGGCGGGCAGUUUGACUGGGGCGGUCGCCUCCUAAAAGGUAACGGAGGCGCUCAAAGGUUCCCUCAGAAUGGUUGGAAAUCAUUCAUAGAGUGUAAAGGCAUAAGGGAGCUUGACUGCGAGACCUACAAGUCGAGCAGGGUCGAAAGACGGACUUAGUGAUCCGGUGGUUCCGCAUGGAAGGGCCAUCGCUCAACGGAUAAAAGCUACCCCGGGGAUAACAGGCUUAUCUCCCCCAAGAGUUCACAUCGACGGGGAGGUUUGGCACCUCGAUGUCGGCUCAUCGCAUCCUGGGGCUGUAGUCGGUCCCAAGGGUUGGGCUGUUCGCCCAUUAAAGCGGUACGCUAGCUGGGUUCAGAACGUCGUGAGACAGUUCGGUCCCUAUCCGUCGUGGGCGUAGGAAAUUUGAGAGGAGCUGUCCUUAGUACGAGAGGACCGGGAUGGACAUACCUCUGGUGUACCAGUUGUCGUGCCAACGGCAUAGCUGGGUAGCUAUGUAUGGACGGGAUAAGUGCUGAAAGCAUCUAAGCAUGAAGCCCCCCUCAAGAUGAGAUUUCCCAACUUCGGUUAUAAGAUCCCUCGAAGAUGACGAGGUUAAUAGGUUCGAGGUGGAAGCGUGGUGACACGUGGAGCUGACGAAUACUAAUCGAUCGAAGACUUAAUCAAUUUUUAAA